GUGAGUAACUNGGGAGCACCUNCCCGCCCAUGCGCACCAGCUAGGGGGUAGAGGGAAUAGUCUCGCGUACCGCCUACGGGGACACAUUUAUNGGGGAAGGACUGGCCCGCGUUGGAUUAGCUAGUUGGAGGGGUAAUGGCCUACGAAGGCGACGAUCNAUAGGUGGUCUGAGAGGAUGAUCAGCUCCCUUGGGACUGACACACGGCCCAACUCCUACGGGAGGCGGNUAUGGGGAAUAUUGGACAAUGGGCGCAAGCGUGAUCCACCCAUGCCNCGUGAGUGAUGAAGGCCUUAGGGUUGUAAAGCUCUUUCACCGAUGAAGAUAAUGACGGUGGUCAGAGAAGAAGCCCCGGCUAACUUCGUGCCAACAUCCGCGGUAAUACGAAGGGGGCUAGCGUUGUUCAGAAUUACUGGGCGUAAAGCGCACGUAGGCCGAUAUUUAAGUCGGGGGUGAAAUCCCGCACCUCAACUGCGGAACUGCCUUUGAUACUGGGUAUCUUGAGUAUGGAAUAGGUAAGUGGAAUUCCGACUGUACAGGUGAAAUUCGUAUAUAUUCGGAGGAACCCUCUGGCGAAGGCGGCUUACUGGUCCAUUACUGACGCUGAGGUGCGAAAGCGUGCGGAGCAAACAGAUUANAUACCCUGCGUAGUACCACCCCGGAAACCAUGACUGUUAUGCGUCCGGCAUUAUACUGNUCCGUGGCCAGCUAACACCAUUAAACANUUCCGCCUGGGGAGUACGGCCGCAAAAUUAAGACUCAUAGGAAUUGACACGCGCCNCNCCAGCGGCGCAGCAUGUGGCUAAUUCCAACAACACACAAACCUUACAGCUAUUGACUUCAUGGGAUGGGGAUUUGAAAAUAUGCCCUUCNGUUAUCUGG
rnacentral:rRNA from 1 species